rnacentral:rRNA from 1 species
GAUCCUGGCUCAGGAUGAACGCUAGCGACAGGCUUAACACAUGCAAGUCGAGGGGCAGCGGGGUGUAGCAAUACACCGCCGGCGACCGGCGCACGGGUGAGUAACGCGUAUGCAACUUGCCUAUCAGAGGGGGAUAACCCGGCGAAAGUCGGACUAAUACCGCAUGAAGCAGGGCCCCGCAUGGGGAUAUUUGCUAAAGAUUCAUCGCUGAUAGAUAGGCAUGCGUUCCA